CAACUCGCCUGCAUGAAGCUGGAAUUGCUAGUAAUCGCGGAUCAGCAUGCCGCGGUGAAUACGUUCCCGGGCCUUGUACACACCGCCCGUCAAACCAUGAGAGUUGGCAACACCCGAAGUCGGUAGUCUAACCGCAAGGAGGACGCCGCCGAAGGUGGGGUUGAUGAUUAGGGUUAAGUCGUAACAAGGUACC
rnacentral:rRNA from 1 species